AUGCCAUGGCGGGAACAUUGUCUAAGUAGCUCCUUAAAUCUUUCACAAGCGUCAAAUAGGGAUUGACCCUCUCCUUGUCUAAAUGAGGUUAUCUCAUUUCUCAUUUU